CCUUCGCUCCUCUCAUCUCUUUCAGACGCUCCCCUAACCCUAGCCGUCGUCACCGGAAAACCCUCCAUUCCAUGGGAUUUUCCUUUGAUUUUAGAUCCCAACCGGCCUCUUACCUUUACUGGUUGUUCGAUUUCUUCAUGGUUUGAAGGAAUCUCAAAGAGAUUCAACUCAGAGUCGACCUAGACUCUUCAUUGUUUUUCUCGAUGAACCUGCCUCGUGUUCAUCGCUAUGUUUUGUCUAGCCGGCUAAAAGCUAAGUCUAGACUAUUGGGUUCAACUUUCCUUCACUUUCCGGUUUUCUAUCUCUUAACUGAAAAUAAGGCACGAAGUCCCCAGGUUCAGUAUGGUCCGUAACAUACCACCAUUGUUGCUAGACUAGUGGGAGGAUCUUCCAUCAAGUGAUAAGAAUAAUGUGUAAAGGGUAUUUGGGAAAUUUUCCUUCUUUAUUGGACUUCCAGCCGAACAACAUGCUAAUCAAAGCCGCCACAAUGUGCUGGGACAAAGAAAGAGCCGUGUUUUGCUUUGCAAACAUAGAAAUAACCCCUCUCUUGGAUGAAAUAGGGGGUUCACUAGGCUGCCUUAGGAUAGUCCUGGUUUAUUAGUGUCGGGAAAUCGCUCUACUAGGGGGUUUCUGAAGCUGAUGGGAUUAAAGAAGAAUGAUGACUUGGAGUGCCAGAAAAAUUCCUAUAUACCCUUCAACUUCCUCUAUGAACGAUACGGUCAUAGUAGAUCUUAUCGUAUUUCUUAUGAUGAAUUCUCCAUCACUUCCUUGGGUUGGAUUCAUCGUAGGGUUUUUUUGUUCAUCGUUUGUUUCUUGGGUAUGUUAGUGUUCCCGAUCCAAGGGGACAAAAUCCACACCAGACUGGCCAUAGUAGCCAAAACCUUGAUGGAUGGGAUUGAGAGGUAGACAUAUACCAUUGUCCCUAUGAUCAUAGCAGACAUAUACCAGGCCUUAGACCGCUAUUAGAAGGGGUACAAAUACUUCGAAGGUUGUAAUCUGCUAUUAUAAGUUUGGUUGUUAGAGCAUCUCCAAAAGGGUCAAUACUGUCAAGAGCUUCCGCGAAGGCAGUGGAAUGACCACAUAACUUUCCAUCAUCAUAAGAGAAUAACUUAUAUUCCAGACAGGUUUGCUCAACCUGAAAAUGCUAUAGGAUAGGCGCAGGUUUUUAGCAAUUUGACCGAGGAUCAGGUUCAAUGGAUGUUCGAAUGGUUCUCUACCAACGGGUUCAUCAUCAAAUCUAAGGAUGUUACACACUUGGUACUGAUUGGGUUGAGGGGCAUAUAUCCUUAUGCUCCCAUCAGAGUUAUGAGACAGGCAGGCAGGAAGCAGGUCAUACCGCAAGUUGCUAAAAUGAGUCACUACAGGGCAGAUUUUUAGGAUGACGACAUCCCAUACAAAUGUGAAGCUCAGCACAUGUGGCAUUUGAAAGUUAUCAUGGAAAAGGAUACCAUCGAGCUAGAUCGAUAUUAUGCUGGUCAUGUAUACUUUUACCCAUCAUGGUUAGAGGAUAACAUAGCAAGAAUAUUCGAGCCAAGGGUUGGUCCAGGAAAUAGAGUCAUAGAUGAAGUUGUCGAGGCACAAGUGAAGUACAACAAACUACACAAAAGAGUUCAGGAGUCCGAGUUCGAGCACAUGGAGCAACACAAGACCGAUAUGGAGCUAAUUAAUGAAUGGAUGGAGAUGGCGCUUAAAUCAAGCAAAAGGUUGGAAUAACUUGGUACAGUCUGAUGGAAUUGGAGGGAAAAAUGAGAAAGAGAGUCACCGAUUGCUAGAACGUCGAAGGAAGUGUAGGAGGACAUCUUGCAAGGGCAUACCUACUGCUGAACCUGCGCAAACUGGGGAAUUUGAUCGACGAAGCCAAAAACAUCCAUCCUGGAGAAGAUCCUUCUAGGACCAAGUAGAUUAGGUUUAUUUGCUUUUCCAAAUGUAAUAAGGCCAAGUUCCAUUAGUGACUUAUCUUAUUUGGUGUCGUUAUAGAUUUAUCUAUUUUUACAUUAAUGAAA